UGCUUGUGUGCCACAGCCGCACGCUCCCAUCACCACAUUGGCUGUGUCAGUCCAAGACUUCAUGUGGAAGUGAAUCCAACGAGAGUUCACUGCACAACUGUGGCUGCGCAAAACCUGGGAUGGUGCAAGAACAAAAUCAUCAGAUGUGCUGACAUUCUUAUCCUUCAAAAUGUAAAAGGGAACAGUGAGAUAACAGGAUGUGAGGUGAUGAAAUGUACUCUGCUUCUGGGAAGGGCUUUCUGCCAGCAUGGCUAAGGCAUGAUGUGAUUCAUCAAGCAAUAAUCUGAGUGAAAAUAAAAAUCCAAUAGCAAUUAUGAAGUAGAAACUAUCAUCAGUUCAUCAGAAAUUAACUAAUUCAUGGAGUAGAGUUUCUCAUAGUCAAG